UGAUGUGAGGGCAAUCUGGCAGUGACAUCUGUCACCUCAAUGAUCGCAGGGUUGAUUUGGCUGGUCUGGCUGACUAGGCAGGUGUCCCCUUCCUCCCUUACCACUCCAGUGCAUCCCUCCUGAAGCUGCAUGCUUGGUCAAAGAGGAUGACCUUCCUGAUAGAGGAGGACCAUCCCUCUGUCAGGGGUAUAUGAGGAGCUAUGCUCCCCUACUAAACUUCCGAACAAGCUCUAAAGAUCUUGGGUUUGGAAGAUUUAUAAACCUAGUUU
ensembl:misc_RNA 7SK 7SK RNA